UAUUUCUUUUCUCAAGCAAAGAUUUUUCUUUUCAAGUAAAGUCCAUUUUUUUGUUGAUGGGAUAAAACAAAGGACAGAGCUAAUUACAAAGGUCAUUGUUUUGUUUCUGCUGUGAUCAUAUUUGUUUUGUGUGUGUUUUUGUUGACCAGACUCCACGAUCUGUUAACACCAUUGAAUGACGAAGAUCUUGAUGAGAAAAUGACACAAAUUCUGCAACACCAGCCAAACUGUGGAUACAAAAUGAUGCUUGGUCACCUGAACGCACAGGGCAUCCACAUACAGAGAUUCCAUGCGGCGUGUGGAUCCUCGUGGAGUUUUGAUGCGGACCCUUCAGCUGAAUCCACGGAGACGGAGGAGGUACUCUGUGCCAGAACCAAACAGUUUGUUGCACAUAGAUGGCAAUCACAAACUGAUAAGACGGCGUAUUGUUGUGCAUGGUGGUACUGAUGGCUUUAGUCGCCUCAUCGUAUACCUGAGUGCCUCCACCAACAACCGCGCAGCAACAGUCCUGAGCAGCUUUCUCAAAGCUGUUAACGUCUAUGGUGUACCAUCCCGUGUGAGAUCGGACAAAGGAGGGGAAAUGUUGCUCACUUCAUGGUGGUGUUGGACCACUUGUUUGCUGAAUAUUGGACUACUUGCACGGUACGGGACGCCACCAGGCCUCCUGGCGGUUUCGGCCAUUUUGUAUCCAGGACAUUGCGACUGAUAUGACGGGGCGCCCCAAGUCUGACGUCACAGGACGCUAUAUGUGGAGGCACCCAUUUUGAACACCUUGCCUUCAGCUGGAGAUCGUGACCCGAUCACCAACAUCUGAAGCAUCACCUGGAGAAGAGUCCCAAGUGGAUUUCAU